GACGAACGCUGGCGGCGUGCCUAACACAUGCAAGUCGAGCGGAGAUGUACUGAAGAUUUAUCGGAUGUACAUCUUAGCGGCGGACGGGUGAGUAACGCGUGGGCAACCUGCCUUCCACUGGGGGAUAACACAGGGAAACCUGUGCUAAUACCGCAUGACAUCACAUAGGGCAUCCUGUGUGAUCAAAGGAGUGAUCCGGUGGAAGAUGGGCCCGCGUCCGAUUAGCUAGUUGGUGAGGUAACGGCUCACCAAGGCGACGAUCGGUAGCCGGACUGAGAGGUUGGCCGGCCACAUUGGGACUGAGACACGGCCCAGACUCCUACGGGAGGCAGCAGUGGGGAAUAUUGCGCAAUGGGGGGAACCCUGACGCAGCGACGCCGCGUGAAGGAAGAAGGCCUUCGGGUUGUAACGUUACUUUGUAUGAGGGACGGAAGGAAGGUAGACGGUACCGUCAAAAACCAAAGACCACGGCGUAACCUAACGUCGUCCAGCAGCCGCCGGUAAGUAGUACUACGUCCG
rnacentral:rRNA from 1 species